rnacentral:rRNA from 1 species
GUGGGGAAUCUUAGACAAUGGGCGCAAGCCUGAUCUAGCCAUGCCGCGUGAGCGAUGAAGGCCUUAGGGUUGUAAAGCUCUUUCGUGGGGGAAGAUAAUGACUGUACCCCAAGAAGAAGCCCCGGCUAACUCUGUGCCAGCAGCCGCGGUAAUACGGAGGGGGCUAGCGUUGUUCGGAAUUACUGGGCGUAAAGCGCGCGUAGGCGGAUUGGAAAGUUGGGGGUGAAAUCCCGGGGCUCAACCUUGGAACUGCCUUCAAAACUCCUGGUCUGGAGUCCGAGAGAGGUGAGUGGAAUUCCGAGUGUAGAGGUGAAAUUCGUAGAUAUUCGGAGGAACACCAGUGGCGAAGGCGGCUCACUGGCUCGGUACUGACGCUGAGGUGCGAAAGCGUGGGGAGCAAACAGGAUUAGAUACCCUUGUAGUCC